AACGAACGCUGGCGGCAGGCUUAACACAUGCAAGUCGAACGGGCGUAGCAAUACGUCAGUGGCAGACGGGUGAGUAACACGUGGGAAUAUCCCUUUCAGCUCGGAAUAACUCAGGGAAACUUGAGCUAAUACCGAAUACGUCCUUCGGGAGAAAGAUUUAUCACUGAGAGAUUAGCCCGCGUCUGAUUAGCUAGUUGGUGAGGUAAUGGCUCACCAAGGCGACGAUCAGUAGCUGGUCUGAGAGGAUGAUCAGCCACACUGGGACUGAGACACGGCCCAGACUCCUACGGGAGGCAGCAGUGGGGAAUAUUGGACAAUGGGGGCAACCCUGAUCCAGCCAUGCCGCGUGAGUGAUGAAGGCCUUAGGGUUGUAAAGCUCUUUUGCUGGGGAAGAUAAUGACUGUACCUAGAGAAUAAGCCCCGGCUAACUUCGUGCCAGCAGCCGCGGUAA
rnacentral:rRNA from 1 species